rnacentral:rRNA from 1 species
AUACGUAGGUGGCAAGCGUUAUCCGGAUUUACUGGGUGUAAAGGGCGUGUAGGCGGUUCUGCAAGUCGGGUGUGAAAUUUCCGGGCUUAACCCGGACGGGUCACCCGAAACUGCGGAACUUGAGUACUGGAGAGGAUAGUGGAAUUCCUAGUGUAGCGGUAAAAUGCGUAGAUAUUAGGAGGAACACCAGUGGCGAAGGCGGCUUUCUGGACUGAUACUGACACUGAGGCACG